rnacentral:rRNA from 1 species
GUGGGGAAUAUUGGACAAUGGGCGCAAGCCUGAUCCAGCCAUGCCGCGUGAGUGAUGAAGGCCCUAGGGUUGUAAAGCUCUUUCAGUGGGGACGAUAAUGACGGUACCCACAGAAGAAGCCCCGGCUAACUUCGUGCCAGCAGCCGCGGUAAUACGAAGGGGGCUAGCGUUGUUCGGAUUUACUGGGCGUAAAGCGCACGUAGGCGGAUCGUUAAGUCGAGGGUGAAAUCCUGGAGCUCAACUCCAGAACUGCCUUCGAUACUGGCGAUCUUGAGUCCGGAAGAGGUGAGUGGAACUCCUAGUGUAGAGGUGGAAUUCGUAGAUAUUAGGAAGAACUCCAGUGGCGAAGGCGGCUCACUGGUCCGGUACUGACGCUGAGGUGCGAAAGCGUGGGGAGCAAACAGGAUUAGAAACCCCUGUAGUCC